GGCCAAUGGAAGGCUCUGUUGGGCCGGCACCAGGCGAGGUGUUGAGUUGGCUUGGCUCAAGGUUCUUCAGGGUGUGAGCUGGAAUGAGGACCUGUUGGAAGUGGGAUCCAGGCCUGGUCCAGCCUCCCAGCUGCCUCGAUUUGUGCGUGUGAACACUCUCAAGACCUGCUCCGUUUAUGUAGUUAUUUCAAGAAACAAGGUUUCUCCUAUCAGGGUCGGGCUUCCAGGUGAGAGCUUAGAGCCCUGGCUGUCCUCAUCUAGGGAGGUGUCUGGGGUACUGGGAAGAGAAGUGGUUGGAUAGUUGUGACUUUGCUCUCUGGGCUUUGUUCCUACCUUUCCAGCAGUUUCUCCAUCUCCAAGGUUUGUUUUCCUCGCAUCCCUUAAACAUCGAACUCCUAGGAGCCCCAUCCUACAUUCUUCCGGAGCUCUCCGUUUUUUCUCUAACUUUAGCUCCUGCCUCCCACCUGGUGAUUCUCACCGCCCAGUGUAGACUUCCCUCUUGCAUUCUUCCCUCCUUAGGUUCAUAUGAAUGCACCACAGAUGCCACAGUCGCUGCAUUUGUCAUCUUUCCUCUCAGACUUUACACUUAGUACAUCCCCAGUUUAAUCUAACAGAUGUCACCGUUUUCCACCCAUUUGGUCAAGCCAGAAACGGAGUCAUCCUAGGUGCUUCC
rnacentral:lncRNA from 1 species